UGGGGAAUAUUGGACAAUGGGGGCAACCCUGAUCCAGCCAUGCCGCGUGAGUGAUGAAGGCCUUCGGGUUGUAAAGCUCUUUUGGCGGGGACGAUGAUGACGGUACCCGCAGAAUAAGCCCCGGCUAACUUCGUGCCAGCAGCCGCGGUAAGACGAAGGGGGCAAGCGUUGUUCGGAAUUACUGGGCGUAAAGGGCGCGUAGGCGGUUUGCUUAGUCAGGCGUGAAAGCCCUGGGCUUAACCUGGGAUGUGCGCUUGAUACUGGCAUGCUUGAGUGUGGGAGAGGUUGGUGGAAUUCCCAGUGUAGAGGUGAAAUUCGUAGAUAUUGGGAAGAACACCGGUGGCGAAGGCGGCCAACUGGACCACAACUGACGCUGAGGCGCGAAAGCGUGGGGAGCAAACA
rnacentral:rRNA from 1 species